rnacentral:tRNA from 1 species
AGCGGUUGUAGACCACCGACAGGUCGCCAGUCUCAUAAGCUGGAGAUAGCGGGUUUGACUCCCGCCGACGCUACCA